rnacentral:rRNA from 1 species
GACGAACGCUGGCGGCGUGCUUAACACAUGCAAGUCACGGGGGUCCCGCAAGGGAUAACCGGCGAACGGGUGCGUAACACGUGAACAACCUGCCCUCGUGUGGGGGAUAGCCAUGCUAACGCGUGGGUAAUACCGCAUACGUUCCCUUGGAGGCGUCUCUGGGGGAGGAAAGCUCCGGCGCACGGGGAGGGGUUCGCGGCCUAUCAGCUAGUUGGCGGGGUAAUGGCCCACCAAGGCGACGACGGGUAGCNGGUCUGAGAGGACGGCCAGCCACAUUGGGACUGAGAGACGGCCCAGACUCCUACGGGAGGCAGCAGUGGGGAAUCUUGCGCAAUGGCCGAAAGGCUGACGCAGCGACGCCGCGUGUGGGAUGACGCC